rnacentral:rRNA from 1 species
GACGAACGCUGGCGGCGUGCUUAACACAUGCAAGUCGAACGGAAAGGCCCUGCUUUUGUGGGUUGCUCGAGUGGCGAACGGGUGAGUAACACGUGAGUAACCUGCCCUUGACUUUGGGAUAACUUCAGGAAACUGGGGCUAAUACCGGUUAGGAGCUCCUGCUGCAUGGUGGGGGUUGGAAAGUUUCGGCGGUUGGGGAUGGACUCGCGGCUUAUCAGCUUGUUGGUGGGGUAGUGGCUUACCAAGGCUUUGACGGGUAGCCGGCCUGAGCGGGUGACCGGCCACAUUGGGACUGAGAUACGGCCCAGACUCCUACGGGAGGCAGCAGUGGGGAAUAUUGCACAAUGGGCGGAAGCCUGAUGCAGCAACGCCGCGUGCGGGAUAACGGCCUUCGGGUUGUAAACCGCUUUCGCCUGUGACGAAGCGUGAGUGACGGUAAUGGGUAAAGAAGCACCGGCUAACUACGUG